CUGCGGUGAGCAGAUGCCUCACAAAGACUAUUGCCGAAUUGGCAUUGAUGGCAUAGGCCCACGCCAGUUUCUCAACCUGGACACAAGAAGACUGGGAGGCAGUCAGGGAUGGAGACACAGAUGUGGAACUGGAUCUGGGGAGGGACAGUGAAGUGGCACAUGGAGAACUGGACCUGGACUGCGGAGACCCUGGAAGGGCCGGUAAUGCUUUGGUCCUUGAUCUCUUGCUUUAAUUCAACCAUAGUCUGUGUCGGACUGUUGUGAUUAUCUGAAGAAGGCUGUGAUUGACCGUAUCGCCUAAGAAACUCUUCUGCAGGGUCUAUCCUCCUGGGAGCCUUUGA